rnacentral:misc_RNA from 1 species
GAGAUGACAGUCUGAGCGAGGGGACCGCUCCCGUCCCGCGCAAACACUCCGUAUCCCGUAGAAGUCAUGGGUGUGACUUAAAAAAAAGAGAGUGGGUGGCGACACAGGCGCGCACGCACAUACACGCUGGUGCAAAGUGUGUGUGGCGGGGGGCUGGUGCUGGUGGUGGUGGUGGCACACACACACACACAGGGAGGAGCAAGUCAGUCCUUCACCGCCCUGAGCGAUGCCUCUGAAAUCUAUCAGUUUUACCUGUGACCUAAAAGGAGAAGUGUUGGUGUGUAGAGAGUGUACAAGACCACCUCAGUGAAGCGUCUUUUUUUUAGAGUUUUAAGAAAUAUAUAUAUAUAUUUUUUUUUUGGAAGUCUGGUGAAGAAAGUCUGGUUUCAAGUUUUUUUUUUUAAUUAUUACUUUUUUUUUGUUCUUCGGGGGGGAGGAGGAGGAGGAGGAGGAGGUGAAGAAGAAGGGUUUUUUGACCCCAUCUACAUCAUCGGCUCAAGACUAUCAACCACCUACCUGUGUAACUCAGGAUAUUACAAAACUUUAGAAUACUGAUCCUCGCUGCUGUUGCUGCUGACGCUGACGCUGCCACUAUCUGUACAAAUUAUAUCCAGUGGUGCGACUUCUGCUGAAUCGCUGCCUGGAACGAGAACUCAAGUCUGACUAGCAGGCUAACCAAGGUACUCAAAGUCUGACUAGCAGGCUAACCAAGGUACUCAAGUUCCUCUCCAUGCCCCAAUGAUUCCAUCCUUCCUGAAAGAACAUAUGAGUGCGGGCAUUCACAAGGGAGCCGAGGAUUCGUUACAAGACCGUACAAAUAUCGCCAACGAGACUUCCCCCCUCCUCCGCAAGCAGCUCUUGCCAUUUUUAACAAGCAAACAGGAUUCGUUGCAUCAUUACAAAGCUGUUUCGUGAGCAGCCAAACAUCUCCAAGCUCUGUGAGAAGUUGUAAUACUCAGUAGCGUAGUUAAUAACCCAUAAUUCCCAAUACGUAACUCGCCUCAUCUGGUACCUGAUGGUCAAGGCCUUGGUGCUGUUGUAACUAAGGAGAAAACAAAAGAAUAGUUCAAGAAGAUUAGAAAAAGAAUAAGUGUGACGUUGUAUUUCUAUAAUACAAUUAUUUUCUAUACUGGCUCCCAUACCAGUCCACAAAGUUCUUUUUUUUGGCCACCACUCGCCACAACCUUAACUACUGUGUGAAGUAUUUCAUCUCACCAAUUUACCCCCAAACAAGCACUUAGCACUAAAGAACGAAGAGGAAACCCAAGCAUGAGGUGAGGGCGGCUCGUGAUCCCUCGAGCGCGCGAAGAGCCGCGAGUUCGGCCGAGAUCGAAGCUAUACAGUCCGGAGUUCGAUAGACGUAAUAGUGAGCUUGGAUGUGAGUGACUUAUAAGAGCUUGAUGGCGCAGUUGUGGGUGUUGAGUGUGGCGGGCCUCGUCAUCUUGUGUUCCCUGGCCUCUGCGGUCACUGCCCAUCAGUUCCUCAGAGAGUCGGCCGAGAGACUGGGCUUCGGGUACCAGGUCUUGCCCCCGACGGAGACGGUGACGGUCAUAGGGGCGAAACUCCUGCUGCCCUGCCAACCCGCCACCACCACUACGGCACCCGCACCCAACGUCACCUGGAUUAAUAAAGGACGUCUAGUUAACGAACCGCGUCGUUACGUCCUCCCAAAUGGCACCUUAGUCAUCCACCAGGUGAUGAUCGAGGACCGGGGCUUGUACCAGUGCGUCCUUCGUCGUGGGUCCCUGGCCGCCAUCUCCUCCCCUCUCACCCUCUCCCUAGCAGAAACCGGUUCAUGGAUGAUUCGACCCAGGAACGCUACGGUGGGGCAGGGCAGCGCCAUCCGACUCACCUGUUACUUCUCUUCCAUUCCUUACGCCAACCUCACCUGGCUCAAAGACAGCCGCCCUCUUCCCCAGCACGCUAGGUACUACCAGCCAACGCCCAUGGUGCUACAGAUCACUAACGUCACCCUUCAGGACGCUGGAAUAUACAGGUGCAAGGCAGUUAACCACCUCCUGAAGAAGGAGUUCGUGAGUCCCGGUGGCCGCCUGGUGGUGGAGUCUGCUGCCACCUCUGCGGCAGGCGGCGAGGGACACACGUGGAGGCCGACGCUGCUGGCGGUGCCAUCGAAAGUGGAGGUGGAAGUUGGACAACGGGCGAUCCUUGAGUGCAUGACGGAUGAUGUCUACCAGCCCCAGCUCCUGUGGUCCAGGAUAGACGAGCGAGCCAUCCGCACCAAGGGAGUGAGGGUGGAGGGCCAAGGCUCCCUGGUGUUCCUGCAGGUUCAGGAUCAGGACGCCGGGGUCUACAACUGCUCCGUCGUCAGCAAGCUGUACCGAAACCCCGUGACCCAGAUGAUCGAGCUUUCCGUGUUGAAGGCCCCGCGGGUCGAGGUGACCGUGUCCACCCGGACCAAAACUAUAACCCUGUCCCAAGCCGUGCGUAACGGGGAGUCCGUGGUGCGGAUAUCCUGCUCCGCUGAGGGCCUGCCCUCUCCGGAAAUCAUCUGGUACAAGGACGGCCUCCCCAUCCCCGUCUCCGGCAGGCACAACUUCGGCAACUCCGUGAUGGAGAAGAACUUCACGAAGGAGCAACUGGUUAUCGCUGACAUCAUGGUCCGAGACACGGGUUUCUACCAGUGUGUAGUGAAGAACAGGGUCGGGGUGGCCUCAGACGGCUUCGUGCUGACCGUCGACACACCUUCCAACAUACCCCAGGCGCCCGUCGACAUCCUGGUGAACGAGACUACAUCUAAGGACAUCCUGGUGGUAUGGAGCCCUCCUCCGCCAGUAGGCCAGACGGCGACCAUGGGCUACAUCGUCCAUUACUUCGAUAUCGACUCCACGGCGCAGGAGAAGCAGCACGUGACCAACAGCACCAGCUUGAAGAUCGAGAAGCUGCGCGCUUACACAAACUAUUCCAUCUAUAUCCGAGCGUUCGUCAUCAUCGAGGACCAGGACGACCCCGUCAUCGGCGUGCCCUCUGAGCCGCUCAUCUGGCGCACCCACGCUGACUUGCCAACGCAGCUGCCUAAUGUAACACUGAAGGCUCUCUCCCCCACCGUACUGCAUGUGAUAUGGAAACCAUUGACUAAGGAGGAGGCCAAUGGCGCCAUCAUCCACCAGAGAGUCCAGUGGCAACAAAAACACGCUCAUUAUCAUGAAAUGGAAGAGGUACCCCCGGAUGUCACCGAUUACGUGAUACGAGACUUGCAGCCCAACACCUUGUACAUGGCUAGGGUUUUGGUGGCCACGGAAGCUGGCUACCCAGAACACAAUGAGCGGCGAGCCUGGGAAGAGAUCAAGAUGCCCAAAAUAGAUCUCAAGCAGCAUGACAAGGACAUCGACCUUCAUCUCUCUGUCUUCAGUGACAAGCCCACAGAAAUCCUAGUGGAAUGGGUCAUGGCUGCGGCACUACGCCGAGAUGUCUUCAUAUACGAGGUAGUCUACAACAACACUCCUUCUCUGAGACACCACAAGCACACGGAGCCGUCCGCCACCUCUCUUCUCAUCAAAAAACUUGAGCCCGGUACGUGUUACAGUGUGAAGAUUGAGCCUCAUUACAAGGACGGGCAGGAGAGGGGUAUUAUCCCGAGUACUGACCGGACUGUCUGCACCCUGCUGCUACCUCCAGCCAUUCCACCACAGCCAAACUACAGUGACAAGAUAGGCAUCAAGAAAGUCAAGGUAAAGGUAUUAAAUUCGACCAGCAUCCUAGUAACGUGGCGGCCCAUGCGUAAAAAAUUGCUGCCUGAUUUUUUCACUGUUGAAGUGGUGAAUCUCGGGCAACAGAAGAGUCCCAAGGCCUCGUCAUUGUCCAUCCAUGCUGACGAAGACCACGACAAGAGUAACCAAGGUGCUGUAGAGACAUACUUUGGUAUUCAAAGCAUCAGUGGUCGGAAUACAAGAGAACAAGAUGUCACUGAUGACAAUAGAAAGAACAGUCGUGAAAAUGAAGAGGAAAGUGAGCUCCCAGACACUCAGGAAUCUGAGUCUGCAGCAGGAGGUACCAGAGAAUGGAAGGAGGAGGGUAUAGUGCACCUUGUUCGGGUCACGGGGCACAGGGUGGUGCUGACCCACCUCCUGCCCCUACACGGCUACCAGAUAACUGUCACUGCUGCCACAGCCUCUCUCUCCAGCGUUCCCUCGACUCCACUCCUUGCUGUCACCAAGGAGGGAGUUCCUAGUGCUCCUGUGAAUGUGUCGUGGAGUGCAGUUACCCCUAAAGACGCUAUCCUGGUCUGGAGUCGGCCGAGUCACAUCAAUGGUCAACUCCUCUACUUCCUGAUCACCUACUCCCACGACCAGCUUGAGUGGAAGAACCACACGGUUGACCAUCGCUUCACUACUACACAGAUUCAGGACCUGGUAUCCAACACUAAUUAUACUCUGCGAAUAGCUGGCGUAACAGGAGGGGGCAUAGGUGACCUCACCACAGUGUUUGUGUACAUCAGGGCCACACUGGAAGGGGAACCACAGAUCUCCACAGAGCCAGUGGUUGUGAUCAGCGUGGUGGCUGUGCUGAUGGCAGCGACAUGUGUGGUGGUGGUGCUCUGUAUAAGGAUGGUGCGCCUCAGACAGAAUUCGGCAGCUGCUGCAUUCCAGGGUAAUGGGACUUGUCGCAUGGUAUACGCGAAUGGGGUGAAGGCCUUAGGCAGGGAUCAUGGCACGGAACUUAAUGAUUACAAGCCUAUGUUAGCCUCCCUGCCGCCUGCCACCCAUAACCAUCACCUUGACACCAAGGGAGGUCCCGGGUUACGCGACGAUGGCAUUGUGACAAGCUAUCUUCUAGAUGCUAACGCUGUUAGGAUAAACGAGGCUGAUGUGCCAAAUGAAAAUGUGGAGCCCCUGCAUGAUGGUGUUGGACCUAAAAAUGUAGUGGACAUUUUAGACUGCAUAGAUGAUGACGACGACGUCUCCAGCAGAUUACUGCAGAAUGUCUCUACAGCAGGGCCUGUAUUUUCUAGUUUAAAGGACCUCGAUCCAAGAUCCUUAUGUGAAUCCACUCAGGUUGAUCCCAACUCUCCAAAAGACUGUGCAGGGGCAGCACCGGCCAUUGUAUCCUAGAACUUGCACUAGCCUUAAUUCACGGGUGAAGGCACGGGUUUACAGAGUAGUUUGGGUCCAAAGGCCCUACCAUAAGAGGAGUGACACUGGCUUUGUCUUAUGAUACAACUAAAAGAUAAAAAUGUCAUGCUUUCUAGUGUAUCAAGGUGUGACCAGAGCCCAGCCUGAGGAUAAGAGUGGAGGUACGGGUUUUGCGGGGUAGUGUGGGCCCUAGCACCCCUACUGCUUGAGAAUCAUUCACUGGCCGGGUGCCACAAGGACAUUGCACGUGUAGGAAGUAGUAUAAGCCUAGAAAUACUAUUAAAAUAAGGACUUAAUUCCACUGACACCACAAAUGGAAAUGCAGAUUUUGAAUUUGACUUAUCCCUAUCUGUGACAGUUUUUUUUGGGCUAAUUGACUGCUGAAUUUUUGUUUAAACAUUAUUGAAACUAUUAAAUGCAGCAAAUCUUUUGUAUAAUUAAACUGUUACAUUUUAGCUGCAAUAUAAUAUGGCCAAUCUGAUGCCCUUUAUUUUCUUAUAUAUUUAUCAGGAAGUUUUAGCAGUCAUAAGACUGGGAUGCAGUUUUUAUUCAAUAUCUUUUGGUUGUAUUUAGCUGGCUUCAUCACCUCAAGUAGAUACGUAUAGUGUUUACAAUUAUUGAUAGUUUUUAUGAAUUAUUUUUAUUGCUAAGAAAAUGUUUAAGGGUCAUUGCUGGACAAAUAGUGUUGUUAUUUUUAUUAGAAGAGUAGCAAACAACAAGAUUUCACUGUAAAGAAGUUUUGAAGUAUAAAACAUGGUAUAAAAAUAAGUUCCUUAAACAUCAAAGUUAUAUGUUAUAUAUUGCUGGUACAGCACUGUAGAAAAGUUCUGUUAAACAAGUGUGUUCUCUGCCUUAUCACCAACUCCUCCUGAUUCAACCACCGUUUACCCCUCUAGGUUACUUUCAUCACUCAAUGUGAAUUAAUAGAAAAAAGUACAAGAAUACAAGUUUUGGAAAAGUAUGAAUAACUCUGGAAUACAUUUUUACAUUAGACUGCUUCAUUCACUUUUUCUCAUUUAUUUACAAUCUUAAAAUGAACUUGACAUGUAAACUCUAGAAUUUUGGGGGGAAUUAUAGUUAUUAUUAUUAGUCAAUAUGACAAGUUUCCAUUAGGUAAUGUGUUGCAGGAAUUCUUGUGUUAGAUGAUGUACUGGGCAGAAUGUGGUGGCCAGAUGCACAGUAACAGAACAUUUUUAGGGUACUGUAAACUCUUGUGGUUUCCUUCUAAACAUAACUAAUGUAAUUAUAACUCUAAUUAGUCAAACAUUUUUCUUAGUGGGUGAUUAAGAGUAUUGAACAGGUACAUAUGUUGACGUACUGCACAAAAAUUAAAGACUCGGUUUCGAUUAUUAUGAGAUAGCAAGGAAAUUAUUAAUGCAUAAUAAUAACUUAAGCAAGAUGUUAUAUUCAGAUAACUUUGGUAUUUUUUUCCUAGUUUUGACCCUUAGACAAAGCAUUUUCUGUAUGUUUUACAGAUAAGUACUACUGUUUUCAUAGACUUAAGUUUCGUAUAAAUUAUUACAUGGUCAAAUUUGUGCUGAAUCUUCAUGUUCAGUUAAGUACGAAUUUAUUAAGUGUUCAUGGAGUAACUCAUCCUUCAACAGUCAUUACACUGUAGAUGAAGUACAGGUAAUGACAUGGCAUAAAAUCAAGGACAUUUUCAGGGUGAAAUGAAAAAAAAAACUGUUUUCAUAAUUCAUAUAUAUAUUGCCUCAUACAAUAGUUAGAAUCUUGUUAAUGUGUAGCCUCCUAGUGUAUAAAGGUGACUCAGGAAAGCCAUGUCAUGAUGGACAUUUAAAUUGUAUUUGAGGUGAUAUGAUUGUUUACAUUUUGUCUGAUUAACAAAAUUUGUGUACUCUAAGAAUAACAUUUGGCCCAUGUGCUGCUGAGGGCCAAGGGUAGCGACGAGUCUACCCUCCUGCCUGCAGCACUCAGCUUCGCAUGAGGUAAUAAUGCCCACUUCAGGUUAGUCCAAUUGAUACUCUGUUUCAACAGCAUUAUGUAUACUACUGUUGAUACUGGGACUAAAAACAACAUUUUGAAAUUGGAGAGCUAUGUAAGGCAGAUUGGAAGGGGGGGGGACAUUGGCAACAUUUACAUACAGAAAUAGCCCUCAUUCCAUCAGAUCCAGUUUUCAAAUGUGAUUGUUUUGAUCACUUGGAAUGGAACAAAAAUUUAUAUACAAAAAUAACAUACCUUUUGUGUAUGCUUGAGCUAUGCUUAACAACUGCCAACAAAGAUUAUAAGCAAGAUAAAUUUUAGUAUCUUGAAUUGCACAGUACGAAUUUGAAACAUGUCACUCACACUGCAUUCUGAUUGGUGAAGAUGUUAGUGUGCAUUAAAAAUAGUUGACUAAAUCUCCUCAGGUUUGUAUCAAACUGUUGAUUAUGUCAGAGUAUGCACAUAAGUCACUGAUUUCAUCAUAGUGCAUGGGUUCAGGCCGUUGAUCUUAUCAUACGACAUUGGUUCAGAACGCUCUUUAGAUCAGCUGGUGUGGGUUCAGACUGUUAAUCGUUUCACCGAGUGUUCAAAAUGCUGAUUCUGUCACAGUGGGUGGGUUCAAACACUUGAAUUUUUGAGUGGGUGGACUUAAACUAUUCAUUCUGCCUCAAUGGAUAGGCUCAAACUCUUGGUUCUUUCACACUGGAUUAUGCUCUUUAAUUUUGUCAUAGUGGGAGGGUUCCAACUCUUAAUUACUGUCAAUGGGAGGACUUUAACUGUUCAUUUUGUUAGUGAUAGGGUUCAUGGUGUUGAGUCUGCUACAGUGGGUUCAGGCGUCUGUCACUAGAUUCAAGUUACUGGUUCUGUCAGUGGGUGGGUUUAAACUGUAGAUUCUGCCACAAUGAAGGUUUUCAGGAUACAGUUGCAUUGGGUAGGUUUAUAUUAAGAAUAUUCAUUUAGGUUAGUUUCUUUUGUACUAGUAUCCAACAUGUUAGUUAUUCGGGGUUGAAGCACUGGGAUAGUUGAGAUGGAACACUGGGAUGGUGUGCUAGGGACGGAAUACUCGGGGAGGUACUCUUGGAAUAGUACACUCAGGACUGGACUCGGGCAAUGGAAUACUCGACACUGUGCUCUUGGGAUGGCACGUUAAGGAUAGUAUACCUGGGAUAGAUUACUUGGGACAGUACACAUACGACAGUUUGUACUUAGGACAGUACACUCGUGUAUAUACGCGGGACAGUUGUACUCAAAAUAGUACUCUCGGGAUAUAUUUGGGACAGUACACUGAUACUCUUUGUAACUAUUCUAGGGGUACAAUCCCAACAAUAUGGGACUUUAGAAAAACUACACUAUGGAUGGUGUACUUAGGUCUACACACACUGGGUUUGUGAAUUCACUCUCUGUAUUGAAUGCUGGGUACUUUAGACAAUGCACUCGGAAUAGUAUUCUCUUGACGAUACACUUGGAACAAUAUAUAUACAGUACUAAUGACACUACUCGAGACAGAGAACUGAGCACUCAGGACACUACACUUAGAAUAAUACCCUCAGGAUGAUACACUUGGAACAAUUCCUUCAGGACCAUACACUUAGGACGAUACACUUGGAACAGAACACACUGAAUGAUACACUUGGAACAAUUCCUUCAGGACAGUACAUUUAGACUGAUACACUUGGAACAAUUUCUUUAGGACCAUACACUUAGGACGAUACACUUGGAACAGAACACACUGAAUGAUACACUUGGAACAAUAUCCUCAUUACAGUACACUUAGAACAAUACUCUCAGGACGAUGCACUUGGAACAAUACCCACAAGACAGAACACUUGAGAUGAUGUACUUGAAACAAUACUCUUUAUGACAGUAUACUUGGAAUGCAAUACUUGAGCCAGCAAAAGUGUGGACAUUAGAAAUAUCAGACUGCACAUGGGGGGAUGGGGGUCGAGCUAUCGGGAUGGUACAUGAUGGAUGGUGCACAUCAGAUGAGACACCUAAAGUGGUACAGUACAUACAAUAGAUAAAGUACACUUGGCAGUACUCACAGUUGGGGGGAGUACAGUACAUGUGGGGGGGGGGGUAGGGCACACACAGUAUAAGGUUGCCACUGAAUGUACCCAUCAUACCUUUAGUAGAAGGGAAUACAUAUGGGAGGGUACUUUGGGCCAUACCAAAAAUAUGGACGGUAUUGUUGAAACAGACUCUUGCUUCGGGAGAGUACACACAUUGAGAAAUUUAAUAAUAAUAAUACUGUAAUUAGUUUUGUCUGGGACAGAAUGCUUGUGUAUAUGUUUAUACUUUAGGCUUGUAUCAAGGUACCCACCAAGAUCGAACUACUGAUCUUUUCCAGAAUGCAGCCACGCAACAGUUGCCUAACUCCUGGGUACAGUACCUAUUUCCUGCUAGGUGAACAGAGGCAUUAGGUGAAAGAAUAUAUGUGCCCAACCAUUGUCCCUCCAGGAAAUCGAACCCGGGAUCCCUGAUUGUGAGUGGAUAACACUAGAGAAAGGUACACUUGGGGAGGUAAACAUUAUAGGGAAGGUACACUUAGGGCAGUAAACACUAGGGAAAGUACACUUGGGGCAGUAAACGCUAGGGAAGGAACACUUAGGGUAGUAAACACUAGGGAAGGUACACUUAGGGCAGUAAACACUAGGGAAGGUACACUUAAGGUAGUAAACACUAGGGAAGGAACACUUGAGGCAGUAAACACUAGGGAAGGUACACUUGGGGCAGUAAACACUAGGGAAGGAACACUUGGGGCAGUAAACACUAGGGAAGGUACACUUGGGGCAGUAAACACUAGGGAAGGUACACUUGCGCAGUAAACACUAGGGAAGGAACACUUGGGGCAGUAAACACUAGGGAAGGUACACUUGGGGCAGUAAACACUAGGGAAGGUACACUUGGGGCAGUAAACACUAGGGAAGGUACACUUGGGGCAGUAAACACUAGGGAAGGAACACUUGGGGCAGUAAACACUAGGGAAGGUACACUUGGGGCAGUAAACACUAGGGAAGGUACACUUGGGGCAGUAAACACUAGGGAAGGUACACUUAGGGCAGUAAACACUAGGGAAGGUACACUUGGGGCAGUAAACACUAGGGAAGGUAGAGUAUUGAGAGGGUUUUCACUGGUCAGUGCACAAGGGAUGGGAAACAAAACUAUUGGAUGAACUAUUGACCUGUGGUUAUGACUGUGAUUGUGUAGCCUUUGUAAUACUGUAUAGCUAAACUAAACGUUAAUGUAACAAAAGUUGGACCUAUA